GGGGUUCUGGCCGAGUGGUUAAGGCGCUGUGUUUAGGUCAUUCAGAUCGCACCGCAGUGGGAAACCGCGCAGGUUCGAAUCCUGCGGACCUCA
rnacentral:tRNA from 1 species